rnacentral:rRNA from 1 species
CCUACGGGAGGCAGCAGUGGGGAAUAUUGCACAAUGGGCGGAAGCUGAUGCAGCAACGCCGCGUGAGGGAUGACGGCCUUCGGGUUGUAAACCUCUUUUAGCAGGGAAGAAGCGAAAGUGACGGUACCUGCAGAAAAGCGCCGGCUAACUACGUGCCAGCAGCCGCGGUAAUACGUAGGGCGCAAGCGUUAUCCGGAAUUAUUGGGCGUAAAGAGCUCGUAGGCGGUUUGUCGCGUCUGCUGUGAAAUCUGGGGGCUCAACCCCCAGCCUGCAGUGGGUACGGGCAGACUAGAGUGCGGUAGGGGAGAUUGGAAUUCCUGGUGUAGCGGUGGAAUGCGCAGAUAUCAGGAGGAACACCGAUGGCGAAGGCAGAUCUCUGGGCCGUAACUGACGCUGAGGAGCGAAAGGGUGGGGAGCAAACAGGCUUAGAUACCCUGGUAGUCCACCCCGUAAACGUUGGGAACUAGUUGUGGGGUCCAUUCCACGGAUUCCGUGACGCAGCUAACGCAUUAAGUUCCCCGCCUGGGGAGUACGGCCGCAAGGCUAAAACUCAAAGGAAUUGACGGGG